GGCCUGAUGGUCUAGGAGUAUGAUUCGUUGUUACUAUGUGGGGAUUGUAACCUGUAGUUGUAUCUUUCGACGAGGUCCCGGGUUCAAUUCCUGGUCAGGCUC
rnacentral:tRNA from 1 species